AUGUUUCAGCGGCGGCUGGCCGCGGUAAUCUUGCUCCUGUUCUCUCGGGACGUCGCCGGCGUCCAAGAGUUCGUGUACGACGGCUUCGCCGCCGGCAAAGUGGUGACCACCGGCACGGCCGUCGUCACCCCCUCCGGCAUCCUCCAGCUCACCAACGACACCAAGGAGACCCUCGGCCACGGCUUCCACCCGGCGCCCCUCCGCUUCCGGGACGCGUCCACGGGCGCGCCCGUCUCCUUCUCCACCACCUUCGUGCUCGCCAUCGCGCCUCGGUACCCGGACGCGCACGGCCACGGCAUCGCCUUCGCACUCGCGCCGUCGGUCAACGUCUCAGGCGCCGUUGCCGGCAAGUACCUCGGGCUGUUCAACACGUCAAACAGCCUGGGCAACGGCCUGAGCCAGAUCGUGGCCGUCGAGCUCGACACGGUCAUGGACAUGGAGUUCCAGGACGCCGACGACAACCAUGUCGGCGUCGACGUCAACAGCCUCCACUCCGUCAACUCGGCCACCGCCGGGUACUGGCACGAUGAUGGCUCCGGUGGGAGGAGAUUCGACAACAUCAGCCUGACCGGCGGCAGCAACGCGCCUGUGCAGGUGUGGAUCGAGUACGAUGGCGACAGCGCGCGCCUCGAGGUGACGCUGUCGCCGGCGGGCGAGCCCAGGCCAGCCCUCCCGCUCUUGUCGUGCCACGUCAACCUCUCGUCGGCCGUCGCCGACGACACCUACGUCGGCUUCUCGGCGGCGAACGGCGCCGCCAUGAGCUCGCAUUACGUCCUUGGCUGGAGUUUUCGCCUCGGCGGAGGCCGCGCGCCGGACCUCGACCUCUCCAAGCUCCCGAGCCCCCCGUCGCCGCGAUCACCCAAGAGGAGGAUGCCACUUCUUCUCCUCCUGGCACUGCUCCUCCUAGCCGUCGUGGUCCUGCUCCUGGUGUCGGCGGCCAUCGGGGUGCUCGUCAUGCGGCGGCGCCAGCAACGCUGGCAGUUCGCCGAGGAGGAUGAGGAAGGAUGGGAGAUGAUAGACUACAGCCCACACAGGAUCAGCUACAAGGACCUGCACGACGCCACCAAUGGCUUCCGCGACGUCAUCGGCGUCGGUGGUUUCGGCCGCGUGUACCACGGCGUGCUCCCGAGGUCCGGCGUCGAGGUCGCUGUCAAGAAGGUGUCCCACGGGUCGCAGCAGGGGUUGCAGGAGUUCCUGUCAGAGAUCACGAGCAUGAGCCGGCUGCGCCACCGCAACCUGGUGCAGCUCCUCGGGUACUGCCGGCGGCGCGACGAACUGGUGCUCGUCUACGACUACAUGCCCAACGGCAGCCUGGACCAGCACCUGUUCGGCCGCGCCGCGCCGGGGUUGAGCUGGGAGCAGCGCGCCAAGAUCGUCCGGGGCGUCGCCGCCGGGCUGCUGUACCUGCACGAGGGGUGGGAGCAGGUGGUGGUGCACCGGGACAUCAAGGCCGGCAACGUGCUCCUCGACGCCGACAUGAACGGCAAGCUCAGCGACUUCGGUUUCGCGCGGCUCUACGACCACGGCGGCGACCCGCACGCGACGCACGUGGUCGGCACGCUCGGGUACAUCGCGCCGGAGAUGAGCAAGACCGGCAUGGCCACCACGAGCUCCGACAUCUUCGCCUUCGGAGCCUUCCUGCUCGAGGUGGCGUGCGGCCGGAGGCCCGUGGUGUUCACCGCGGACGCCGACGGCGACUUGCCGUCACCGGCGGGUAUCGUCGAGCUCGUCCUCCAGCGCUGGAAGGCCGGGAAGAUCACGGAGGCUCGGGACCCGAGGAUCGGCGAGUGCGACGAGGACGACCUGGAGCUGGUCCUCAAGCUGGGGCUGCUCUGCUCGCACCCUGACCCGGAGCGCCGGCCGGGCAUGAGGCAGGUGGUGCAGAUGCUGGAACAUGCCGUGCCCCCGCCAGAGAUGUCGCCGGAGGUUAUCAGCGAGAGCAUGAAGCAGUUCGAGCACCAUGAGGCUUUCGACGAGUUCGUCGGAAUGUCGUUCCCGUCGACGUCCGAGGUCACCACCGCCACGACGCGGCAAUUCUCAAACGGCAGCCGUCCUCGUAGUGACUUCCAUUCAAGCUAG
rnacentral:rRNA from 1 species